GCAAGUCGAACGAGAAAAUACCUUCGGGUAUGAGUACAGUGGCGCACGGGUGAGUAACACGUGGGUAAUCUACCCCACCGGCGCGGGACAACGGUCCGAAAGGACCGCUAAUACCGCAUACGUUGUUGACGACUAAGGUUGUUACCAAGAAAGGAUGACCUCUACUUGUAAGUUAUCGCCGGGGGUUGAGCCCGCGUCCCAUCAGCUUGUUGGUAGGGUAAUGGCCUACCAAGGCUAAGACGGGUAGCUGGUCUGAGAGGAUGAUC
rnacentral:rRNA from 1 species